UACGUAGGAUCCAAGCGUUAUCCGGAAUCACUGGGCGUAAAGCGUGUGUAGGCGGCGCGUUAAGUGGGAUGCGAAAUCCGGUGGCUCAACCAUCUGGACUGUGUCCCAUACUGGCGUGCUUGAGGAUGGCAGAGGCAAGUGGAAUUACGGGUGUAGCAGUGAAAUGCGUAGAUAUCCGUAGGAACACCAAUGGCGAAGGCAGCUUGCUGGGCCACACCUGACGCUGAGACACGAAAGCGUGGGGAGCGAACAGG
rnacentral:rRNA from 1 species